UAUUAACUCAUUGCAUGAACAGGGAAGCUGAGAUGCUGGCCAAUAAAGUGGCAUAAGAAAGGGCCUCCAAAAGAUUGUUGGUAAGGGAGGGACCCAGGUAUGCCCAGUUCGUUUACAGUGGAUGAGCUCACAUCCCUCAUGUGCUGGCCCUUUGCCUAUGAACACAGAAACCAACUUGCUUUGGCCUCUUUUAUUUGCCCUUGCUCCUUUCCACCUGCUGUACCCAGACCCCUCCACCAGCCCUAGUGAGCUCCUCUUGGGAAGUUCACUCAGGGACAGAACCUUCUCCCACCUCAGGUGGUUGGUUUUGACGGCUCCUCCACGGUUGAUGAGUUCCUCCAGCGGCUGAACCAGGAGAUAGGCAUGAGAAAGCCAUCCCACUCUGGCUUUGCCCUCUUCACGGACGAUCCCUCGGGCAGGGACCUGGAGCACUGCCUGCAGGGAAGUGUCAAGAUCUGCGAUGCCAUCUCCAAGUGGGAACAAGCCAUGAAGGAGCUGCACCCCGGAAAGUCUGAGGGUGGGACACGCGUCGUGAAGCUGAUGUACAAGAACAGGCUGUACUUUCGCAGUCAAGUCAAAGGGGAGACGGACCGAGAACGGCUGCUCCUUGCCUCUCAAACUAGUAGAGAGAUAGUGGCAGGGA
rnacentral:sRNA from 1 species